CGGUGGCUGAGUGGUAAAGCGCUUGACUUCCGAACCGAGAGGUUCAAGUUCGAAUCCUGACUG
rnacentral:tRNA from 1 species